CUCCUGGAGUGUGGGGGGGGGGACCUGUGACUUGCUUCUAAUCCAUAGAAUUUGGCAGAGAUGAUGGGAAGUCACUGCCAUGGUCAUGUUUCUUUAUGGAGGGCUCUGUGCUACCAGAAAAGAAAGACUGCUUUGCUAGUCUUGAAGAAGCAAAAAAGGCAUGUGUGAACUGUCCAUGGAGAGGGCCAUGUGGCAGGGAGGUGUGAGAAACUUCUAAAUGCCGGGAGGUCUGGGUGGUGCGGUCGGUUGAGUGGCUGACUCUUGGUUUCAGCUCAGGUUAUGAUCUCAGGGUCUUGGGAUCGAGUCCUGUGUCGGGCUCUGCACUCAGUGGGGAGUCUGCUUCAGGAUUCUCUCUCUUCUUCUGCCCCUCCUCCUGCUUGCUGUCUCUCAAUCUCUCAAAGAAAUAAAUCUCUAAAAAAAAGAAAAGAAAAGAAACCUCUAAAUGCUGAGAGACCACAGGAACACAGGGCCCUCAGUCAUAAGUUGUGAGAAGAUGAAUUCUUUGAUGACCUGAGGGAGCCCAGAAGGAUAUGUUUCCCCAGUAUUUGGUGUAGGGAUUGGGGUGGGGAAGGCCCACCACCUCUUCUCUCUGUGACCUGAGCCAGACUGCGAUUGUGAUUUUGAGGUCGGCAACUAUGUUUCUUCGUCUCUGAAGCCCCAAAGCCUGGCACAUGCUAAACUGCAUGGCUGGCACCUCCCAGGGGAGGAGGCUGUGGGAAGGAGGUUGAGGGAGCCCUGUUCAAAGACUCAAGAAAGGAAACAGGUUAGUGGAGAAGGUAAGUCCUACUCCUCUAUUCAAAGGCCCACCUGUGACCAAUGAUAGAGGGUGUGGAGGAACCACCCUUUCAGAGGGUAAUGAAGAAUUCAUCAGGCUUUUGUAUCUGCCCGCCCAUGACCUACGGAGCAGAGACAAUGGCAGGGCUGGAAGCCUUUGUCUCCCUCCCUACAGAGGCAGUGUCAAAUGUUGGCCACAUGUGGGUGGGGAGCCUGCCUCCCUUGGAAAAGGGGUAGUCCCGUAACUUGACAAGGGGCACCAAAAUCAGGGCUAAUUAGCUGGAAAUUAAAUUUUCCAUUUGGCUGGGCCGGAAACAAUUGGGGGUGGGGACCUGGAGUCAGGAGAGACCUCUGGGGAGAGAGAUGGUGUCUACUGUGUGUGCUUUGGUAAACCUCACCUCAUGGAGAAGACUGGGAGUGUCCCACAGGUACUCAGCCCCAGAAAACCAGUCAGACAACCAAACUGACCACCCAACACCAACAAAAUGGUGAUUGUACUUUGACAGCUUUUCUAAUGAAGGAGGAUACCAACCGCGUGCCUUAAAAGUGGAAGAUGAAGGAUGCAUACAGAGACAUCAAGAAGUCACUUCAUUCUACAAAUCUUUUCUGGCACCCACUCUGCCCCAUUCAAUAGCAAUGCAAAGAAUUCUACCAUUAGAAAUUCAUUUCUUUAUGACUUCACAACUAUGCAAUUAAUUUAACAUUUAUUAAACAUUUACUGAACUCACACUGUGCGGCAAAUACUAUUUCAGAUAUGGGGAUACAUGAGUGAACA